ensembl:lncRNA
CUUGCAUAUUCUUGCCUAAAAAUCUCUUUUUUUCCCUUUUCUGCAGUGUGGCGCUAUAAAUGUGAGCGUAACGUACUCUAAAUGUGUGUCGUACAGGGAGGUGCAUGCUGUAUGAGCAUGUGAUAGUGAGGAUGGUGUUAUCAGUGCAGUGCUGGGACUAAUUAAAAUCCUCCCCAGCAACCUUUGAGGCAACAACACGGACAAUCAACCUCACUUACGCUCACAACACUGCAGUGCACCAGUGCUUGUUGGAGCAAAGGGAAACUGUGUCCUGCGUGCACACGUUUUUUCAUCUUUUCAUCUGCACUUGCCUGUCAUGUUAGUGUGAGGACAAUUUAGAACCGUAUGAUGCCGGCAGUGGGAAAAAGCCAGUGUAGGAAAUGAGGGAUGAUGGCGGUGAUACAAUCCCAGAGCUGGAAGCACAGCGGUAUCUACCUGUCUAGACACUGCACAGCUGUCUCCGGUAGAACGCCAGCUGCACGGACCACUAACUGCGUCAGAAAUAUUGGUGAGCGCCUGAUCGCCUCAGCGGUCCGCAGCACAAGCGAACACACAGCUUUGUUUGUUUAACAAUAGGGCUCAGCCGAGUGUGAAAAGCUACAGAAAGGCUGCCUUAACAAAACACGACAGUGAUACACACGCUGACUUAACUGAGGUUUUACAGCAGCGUAGCGGCUCUCCAUUUUUUACAUCCCUGUCCCCAACACCUGCUGUCGUGUUAUCGUGGCUGAAGGUAACAGACAUAAAAAAUUACACCAGGGCAAUUUGAUGUGAAUUCCUUGCAUACUUUCUCAUGAGUCCCCCUGUGUGUGCGUGCCGGUGCUUGUACAUGUACUUGUUUGUGUGUCAGAACAAAAAGCUGUCAGUGCUUGUUGUGUUGUAUUGUGUGUGUGUGUGUGUGUGUGUGUGUGUGUGUGUGUGUGUGUGUGUGUGUGUGUGUGUGUGUGUGUGUGUGUGUAUUUGUGUGCAAUUUCACCCACAUGGCUGCAGGAAUAAAGGCCACGGUAUAAAAAUCCUUAUUGUUUCAGAGGGAUUAUCCUUUACAAUGUAGGGCUUUAUCAGACGUCCUGGACUGCUGUAACAAGACACGCUUGCCCCGGGUCCGCCCGGCCAAAUACUAAGACUUACGCCAGCAACCAAUCACACGGGGGGGGGUGAAAUGAGGGGAGUAAAGGAGAAAAAAAACCCCACAAUGGUGAAAACGAUAGCGAAAUAAAGUGAAAAGCAGUGAGGGAUAAAGAGACGGCGAGGGGGAGAAAAGUGGAGUGAGAGAGAAAACAGAGCAGAUUAAAACUCUACGGAGAAAAGGCAGAAGUUGAGCAAGUUUAACCGGAGGCCGUGCUUCAAACAGAGUGGUUUAUUUUCUGACAGAGAUCCCUCUCAGGAGAUUGAGCUGGAAAACAGAUUAAUAGAGGCUGUCCAAGUUGCUCUCUGAUAUUGCACAACAUGUGCCUCAGCAGCAUGUGAAUACAAUCUGCUGUGCAUUAGCCCAUUCGGUGCUUUGACGUGGCUCUGCGUGUGUGUGUAUUAUAGCUCACAAUAUACAGUGUACAUACCCCCACCAAGCUGUCAAAAACAGGCAGCAGUUCAUCUGUUUUGUAGAAAUGGUCCAUAUCUUUCUUGUUGGGCUCUGCCGAUGAGAGGUAUUUCCGAGUUUGUUGUUUUAUUUCAUUAGCUUUAUAAAACCUUCUCAGCCGGAUCGGGUUGCGGUGCCCAGGCUAACCGGGCUCUGUAAAGGGGAGCCGUGGUUUUGGAAAUGAGGAGUAAAGUUGGCCGCCGUGCUACGGCCUUAAAUAUGUAUGUAGAAGGUGUAGGUGGGGGGGUGUGGGUGGGCAUGUUAUUGUGUGGUGACUUUUUAUAUUCACAGAUUCCCAUGACGGCUGCACUAUAGCACAAAUCCCCCGUCUGACUUGCUAAUUCUCUUUUACGAGCUGUUCAUGUAGAAUGUUAUUUUGAAUGUUUAUAACAGAGCGAUCUAAGGGUUGGACUCUGGUGAAACCCAGAUGAAUGUGAUAACACAUGUGAUGUGCACGUAUUUCUCAAUAUGUUCAGAAAUAUGUGCGUUGGCGUUGGUACAUUUCCUGCACUGGAAAUGUGUAGGUGUCCCACUUGUGAUGCCAAGCUGUGCCACUCGGGGUUUGAGGCUUUUCUAAAGCGAGCUGCCAGGGAAGGCCCAAGUGUCUGUAACAAUCCCAGCUCCAUUUGCCCUUUUAUAAACUCACUUGUCAAGAGACAAGAGCAGGGAAGGAGAUUGAGUGGACAAAGGCCGGGGAAGCUGUCUUGGUCCUGCUUUCUGAAUGAGGGAUUAUGCUUCUUACCAUUUAACUUAAAACAGCCCUGCUUCAAAGCGUUUGCCAGCCACGCUGCAAUCACGUCUAAGGUUGGGGUCGUAUUCCAUGUAAUUGUCUAGUUGCUAAAUCUAGGGGAAAGGUCUUAAGUCCGGGUUUGGGUCAAUAUAUAUAUAUAUUUUUUUAAAGGAGUCCCACCUGGCCUGCAUGUGCUGUUUUGCUUGUUUUGUUGUGGUCAACUUUCCAUCAGGUGUAUCUAAAACCCGUUGAGGAGCUUCAAAAAAAGCAGGAUACCGACCGAGUCGCCAGAACUCUUGUUUCAGAGCCACUCGAAAUUCUCAGCGCGUCGCCUCGCCGCGGCUUUGACUCCACAGCUCACACGCUCUGAAUGGUGCACCCGGUUUUUGUUCCAAACUGGGCUUCAUAAUGGUUAAUUGUCCAAUUUCAAGGGGGUUAAUUUACCCCCCGUCCUCCUUCUUUCUCAAAUCUCAGACAUGCCAGAGCCAAGACUCUACCGAUGGAGCGCUGAGCGAAGGCCUGCUGCCGUCAUCCACACGCACAGAGGAUGAGGGAUUGAGGGGUUGCGGAGCGGUUUAUCUCUCGUCGCCGCUCUUUUAAGAGAAACGAGAAGGGAUGAGCUGAGACGGAUUGAGUGGACUCAAAAGUAACAGGAUUGUAAUUAUUUACCCUAAACGUCCUGUUGAGACUGGCUGGAAUUUACUCCUUUCAGAACCGGACGCAGCGUGUUUGUGGGGAGCGCGGGGGCCAUCGGGCACGAACGCUCCGAGCUUUGUGUGUGUGUGUUUUUAGCCUGUUCUGCGUCACUGCUGCUCUCUUGUUUAUGCAGAGGCUGUGUGGAUAUGGAGAGGUGGGAUAUCCAAGCCUCCCACUGUCACCUGAUAUCUGUGGAAAAUGGAUCAGAUGAUUGGACGAGUCCACUCGACUCUUCGAGCAGAAAGUCCCGUUUCCCCUCACGUCAGAGCCUGUUGCAAAACCGUCGUUUUGACUCUCGCCAAGAGGUGACGAAGCACGUCUCACAAUUCCCACAGCUAAUGUGAAAAAGAAAGAAAGAUGAAACUUGAGAGUUGGACUUUGAGUCUUGUGCCUGCUACACGCAGGUUGACUGCUGCAACGUAAGGGAGGCAGAGAAGGGCGGACGAGAGGCCGGGUGAGACGGAGAGGAAGAGGCCCAUAUUGAGUUACACAGACGAGGGUCUGUGUAUUCUCGGUGGACCAGGGAAGAUGCAGGGUAAAUGAAGCGUGCUGUAGCAUGGCGGCUUCUGCUUUAUCCUUGCACCGUGUGUGUGUGUGUGUGUGUGUACGUGUGGUUUAGACAGCGGCCUCUUUGAGCGCUCUGUUCUCUCAUGGUUCUAAUAUGUCGGGGGCCCCGCUGUCCUCGGCCCCUGACCGAUGUCCAAAGAUAAGAGGAUUAAUGCAAGCCAAAAGUGAAGAGAGAUGAAUACAAAUGGAUCCACAUGAGGGACCCACCAAAUUACACAAUCUGCACUGCGCAGAAGGAUCUGCUUAUGCAACGACUCAACUGUUUCAUUUGGAAUUAAAUCGUUGAAUUGUGAUGCUUUGUGUCUCUUCUCCAGCGAGUCUGUGACCUGUAGCACAAGGGCCUCCCCUUGUGUUCUGUUGCAAAACUACAAAUCUACUGAUUUGUUAAGUACAAAUUAAAUCAACAAAACACAGGUAAGAAAGUUAAGUCAUUCGUUGGUAAAAUCCUGGCAUUGUUCCAGAUAUCUUGAAUUUAAUAACUGAGUGAUGCAAAUGGACUUUAUUUCCUUGAGUCUUGUUUUUGGUUAUGUUGACCGUGUAACUAUUUCAAUAUGUUUACAGGAAACUUGUCUUGCACGUCUUUAUUGUCAUACAAAAUGCCCUUUGACUAUUUACUAUUUGUGUUUUUAAUGAAAGAAUAAGACAAAGAGGGAUAAAGACAAAGAACAAGUUUGAGAUUUCCAAAAACUUCAUGAUUGUAGUUCACAGAAAACUUUUUGUUUUUAACGGACCCCUGCAGUCAGACAGCAACGCGUAUGAAUGAAGUGAUAUUAGGAAACCAUUCAGUCGUUACUGAAGAGACUGUCGAGACCUGCAAGUAAUGCAAUGUUCACAUUGUCCCCUUGUAUUUAACUUUGAAUUGAGUCAAUGAAAUACCAACCAUGCACUCAAGCCACAUGAUUUCACUUUUCAGGGAAUGCAACAGAGAUCUGCUAGACAUUUUUAUGAUACGUUUCUUUUGAACAUUUUUCGCCCCUAAUAUUUGUUAACCUUUUUUUGUUAAAUUCAAUUUAUGACUUUUAGAGAAACGUCACACACAACAUCAUUCUUUUCCAAAAUGCUUCGUCUGACAUUAACCUUGUUAACAAUACAAAUAGUUUAGUUAUAAAUGUCAAAAGUGUUAUUUUUAAAGCAGCAAAUGGAAGUCUAGACUGUAAUCUACUCACAGCUAUACCUCGGUCUCCAUAGCAUUGAUCCUUUUGUUGACGGCAAGACUCCUCAAGUCUGGACCGCAACCAGGGAGUCCAGCUCCCUGAAAGGGGAGAAUGAAAGCCGUGUCUUUUGUUUGAGCCUGUAGCCUCUUUGAGGGUUCAGGUGAAGUCUCCUUUUUACUGAAAUAACUUUCCACAGACAAGAUUCAGAGCAAUUCUUGUGUAGUAUUUGUUUCGCUGGGGAGGCGAGAGUCUCUCUGGAUGGACUGUGAGUGUGUUUAUUGUUAUACUAUUUUGUAUUAUUGAUGACAAAGAAAAGAUAAAGAAAACAAUAUCACGGCUAGAAAGAUUAUUUGCAAAUUGUCUUUGAACAGAUGAGAUAAAAAAAUUGGCAGCAAACUGUAAAAAUAAAAAAAGAGUAAAAGAUUCAAAAGUUUAAAGAGCAUUUCAUCUGUCAUCUCAUCUCGUCUUCAACCGCUUACUCAAACUUCCCUUUCCCGUGCCACAUCUGCCAGCUGUGACUGGGGGAUCCCAAGGCGUUCCAGGGCCAGUGUGGACAUGCUUGUACUCAUGAUCGGUCAUCACCCAUCCCUCAGGACGAGAGGUAAGACUGGCCGGCAACUGUGGGCGAGUGGAAGACGCGGUCGCACCACAAUCAGAGGAUUGGCCGUUUGAUCCCUGGCCCGGCUUUUUCGCCGCCCACGCUGCUCGGACUCUCGGGCCAAACUCGCACUCCCUGAGGUACUUGAACUCCUUCACUUUGGCUGAGGACGUCAACGAUGCCAAACUCCACAAGAUACCAGAACUUAGGACUGAAUCUUCAUGGCUGAUAUACAAAACAAAGGUUUUCCUAAAGCAUCGGGGCAAAGUAUUUUUUUUAAAAAGCACGCUCAUCCCAGUCGUCGUUGGCCCCCCGGGGGCCCGGUAGGGCCGACACACUAGAAACAGACAUCCUCACACAGCUUCUCCUACGGCCAGUUUAGAGUAAACAAUUAACCUAAGCUGCACGUCUUUAUGCUGUGAGAGGAAGCAGGAGGCGGCGGUGCUCCACAGAUCGAUGUCAAAUCUUACUGCCCAAUACGCAUGAAAUGCACAGCUGGUGAAAAAAAGAAAGAAAAGAAAGGCAGUAUUGAGCUGAAGAACUCCCCCUUUUUCCACGUGCAUCUGUAAAUGGGUUGAUAUCAGCGGGAGGAGGUGCACAACAGAAGGAGCGCUGCUGAUGGUGGUCGUGGAGGCCUGUCGACUCAACGGGGAGCCUCCGUUACUCAUAACCGAGCGCAGAGAGGAUUCGCUGUCUCAUUCUAAUCUCCAGUCUGCCUCUUACCUUGUUUCCUUUUGCCCAUCUCCUGAUGUAACUUCAUGAGCUGCUCCCCAAAGCUCCACAGCCAGUAUCCACUCGGAGUGGGAGCAUUAACUGGGCUUUGCCGAUGCAGCAUCACGUCUCUCUUCCUUGUUGUUUCCGUCUCCGAGCUGCCAACCGAUGAUUGGACAUGACGGGGGAAGCCGUAGCUUUGGUGUGUAAGCGCUUUGACCCAGACCAGGGCAGCGGGUGGGAAACUCGCUUUUGUUGUGUUUUAGAGCUUCUUUAGGG